rnacentral:rRNA from 1 species
CGACCGCUGGCGGCGUGCUUAACACAUGCAAGUCGAACGGAAAGGCCCUGCUUUUGUGGGGUGCUCGAGUGGCGAACGGGUGAGUAACACGUGAGUAACCUGCCCUUGACUUUGGGAUAACUUCAGGAAACUGGGGCUAAUACCGGAUAGGAGCUCCUGCUGCAUGGUGGGGGUUGGAAAGUUUCGGCGGUUGGGGAUGGACUCGCGGCUUAUCAGCUUGUUGGUGGGGUAGUGGCUUACCAAGGCUUUGACGGGUAGCCGGCCUGAGAGGGUGACCGGCCACAUUGGGACUGAGAUACGGCCCAGACUCCUACGGGAGGCAGCAGUGGGGAAUAUUGCACAAUGGGCGGAAGCCUGAUGCAGCAACGCCGCGUGCGGGAUGACGGCCUUCGGGUUGUAAACCGCUUUCGCCUGUAACGAAGCGUGAGUGACGGUAAUGGGUAAAGAAGCACCGGCUAACUACGUG